rnacentral:rRNA from 1 species
UAGGGAAUCUUCGGCCAUGGACGAAAGUCUGACCGAGCAACGCCGCGUGAGUGAAGAAGGUGUUCGGAUCGUAAAACUCUGUUGUUAGAGAAGAACAAGUACGUUAGUAACUGAACGUCCCCUGACGGUAUCUAACCAGAAAGCCACGGCUAACUACGUGCCAGCAGCCGCGGUAAUACGUAGGUGGCAAGCGUUGUCUGGAUUUAUUGGGCGUAAAGCGAGCGCAGGCGGUUUCUUAAGUCUGAUGUGAAAGCCCCCGGCUCAACCGAGGAGGGUCAUUGGAAACUGGGAGACUUGAGUGCAGAAGAGGAGAGUGGAAUUCCAGGUGUAGCGGUGAAAUGCGUAGAUAUAUGGAGGAACACCAGUGGCGAAGGCGGCUCUCUGGUCUGUAGCUGACGCUGAGGCUCGAAAGCGUGGGGAGCAAACAGG